CAAUAGCGUAUAUUAAAGUUGUUGCGGUUAAAAAGCUCGUAGUUGAAUUUCUGUUUAGUGCAACUGUUCCACCCAUUGGGUCGGUAACUGGUGUGCUCUAAACUAUUGUUAGUGAACACGGCUGCACUUCCGUGAGGCCUGUUAACUAACCUAUUACUUUGAGGAAAUUAGAGUGUUUCAAGCAGGCUUCUGCCUUGAAUAUAUUAGCAUGGAAUAAUACUUCAGGACCUUAGUUCUGAUUUGUUGGUUUCUGGAACGAAGGUAAUGAUUAAUAGGAAUAGUCGGGCAUUCGUACUUAACUGUCAGAGGUGAAAUUCUUGGAUUUGCUAAAGACGAACUAAUGCGAAAGCAUUUGCCAAGGAUGUUUNCAUUG
rnacentral:rRNA from 1 species